UGGCGGUCGACCCGUUGUGGUCGACUCAGCGGCAUCACCGGCGGGAAGGAGACGGUUGCCAUGGUGAAUGUAACGUCUACUUCAUGUUUGGUUGGUUUGACCCUGUGAGUCUGACCAGCUGAUGCAGAGAAGCGGCUCUGAUCUGAUGGUUUUGAGUUUCUCUGAUCAUUUCCCAGCAUGCCCGGCUCUGGAUGGGACCAGUUGGUAACCAUGACAGCGGGACGCGGCCCGGAGAGCGGCUGCUGCUGUAGCAGUGACUCGGUUUCUCCUUGGCUGUGAUCCGGACAGCAGAAGACAACAUGAGCUCAGCUGUGGCGCCGCCGGCGGCCGGAGGUUUGUGCGAUUCGGAGCCGACCCGCAGCAUCAGAAACAAACAGCAACAGCAACAGCCGGCGGCGGCGGCGGCCGACAGGCGUGACAAGAGGAGCUGAAUUAACAACGUGAAGUUCAUUUAAAAGCAUCUCUGACCUUUUCCUGGAACGAGGCGGCAGCGGGAACGGCAGCAGCUCAGCGGGCGGAGGGACGUCCUGCAGCAGAGGACAGACACGGCGCGUCCUCCGGCCAACAAUAAACACCGCAGGACCUUCAUGUCACAUGUAACGUUUGGCCGUCAUCAGACCCGGCCUCGCCGUGGCGUCCACCAGGGCUCCGUACUGGGCUGGUAAUGGAGGGAAAAUGUUCAGCGUCUCCAACCGACCAGAGAUGAACAAAAACCCAAAACAAACAGAUAAACGGACAAACCAGAGAUUCAAUCUUUGGAUGUUUUGGCCAAAUUUCAUUAAAGUCCAUCUUUGAUAAACACAACAGCUAAAAUCUGACGCCUCCAUCUUGUUUCCAUUCGGUGAAGAAGGAAGUUGCUCUCAG